rnacentral:sRNA from 1 species
GUUCUUAUUAAUUAAAAAGUUACGGAUGUUAGUUCGAUAGAGUAUCGAUUUUACUAAAAGAAGAAUGAGAAACAUUGGAGGUUGAAAAAGUUAUUAUGGUAUUUAGAGGGAAUUUGAGAUGAGUGUAGCACCUUCCUUUCAAAAGUGAAAGGGAAAGGCGUAAGAUUUUUGUUGUCUUGAGUUAGUGCAAGAAUGGUUGACGGAUUUACAAAAUUUUUUACUAAAUAAAUACUUGUAUUUUUUUUUGGGAUUGAGGUUAUCGUUUGAUGGCGGAGAAAAAUGGAAGCUUUAAAAUUUGGUUAACUGAAAGUGUUUUCAUUGCUUAGACCUAUAGCUUCUUUUGGUUAAUGAUGAACAUGGAGUAGCUUGUUUACUACUUAACAUAAGGCAUACAUUUGUUCAUUCUUAUGUUUUGCUUCUUUUUUUUCUUAUGUUUUACUUUUUUUCCAGAUUAUUGCUCGACGCGUGGACGAGCUUGUUCGCGGUGGUCUAGGCAGUAGCACACUGUCGCGACCACCACGAUCACAAAUGCAACUGACGCCAUGACUCCGAACAGCACCACUAAGCCGGAAGAAGAGUGAGACUGAUGUGGUGGAAGCGGAAAGUCUUGAUUCGUUGAGUUAAUCAUGGUGAGUGAGUUGCUUUUCCUUCUCUCUUCUUCUUAUCAUUAUAUAAAACAGUGAAGAUCAAAACCUGCAAACUACUGUGAAUUGCCAAGAGUGUCAAUUGUAGUUGAAAAAGUGUUUUUGGUUUUUCUAAUAAGUUUGAGAUAAACGUAUUACCUAGAAUUCAAAAGUGAUAGGGCCGUUAAAAAAUUUCCGAAUUGUUGAUCUUUAUAGGUUUUGAAUUGUUGAUCUUUUAUUGGGAAUUCUGAAUAAUGACAAAGCCUGCCUCGUUGCCCGAUUCCAAUGAAACUGUCUUUAAGUCACGUUGCAUAUUAAUUCAUAAUCAUUAAAAGUAUUUGAUAUGAAAAUUAUAUCAAAACAUUUGUUUUGUUAAUAAAAUGUGAAAAACGUAAAUAUAUCAACUUUUUUCCAAAAUAAUAAUCAAUUAGAAACAUAUGAGUAUUUAACUAUUUAUAAAUUUUCUUUACUGUUUAGCUUUGUAUUGAGAUAUGGAAAAAUGGUAUGGAGAACCAAAGAUCGACCGAGACGACAAGGCUAAAAUAUGAGUCUUGAAAACAUUAUUUUUCAUUCUUAUGUUUUGCUUGGUUUUUACUUAUUAUUUGUUUGGGACGAGUUGGAAGAUGCAAGCUAAGACUCGCUCAACUCAGGGAUGUUUCUUAACAUUUUGAAGGUUUGAGUGGUUUUGUAGAUACAUCCACUUAUGUAUUGAUUGAACAUUUUAAAUAAAUUAUAACUUGUAAUUUUAUUUAAAUGGAUGCUUAAGUAGACAAUGUCACACUGAUAUGGAUAGUCUGGAUAGAGAGAAAACUUUUCUAUUAUAUAUUGACUAGGGAAAUUCCGGGCUACAAAACACAAUUGUUGUGUAUAUUAACUACUAGAUUUUAAUAUAUUUUGUAACAGAAAACUUCACCUGCCAUCCCCAUGCCCUAUCGUCAUUUGUCAUCUGAUACGACGGCGACGACAUACCAUAACAAGAAAUAUUUCCUCUAGAAGCAACCACACCUGCGACGAAGAAACUUUUAUGAAGCCUCAUCAUCAUGCCGAGCUAUUUAUCCCUCAGCAUUAUUUGGAUAUAACAAAAGGAAUAAAAAAAAAGUACCUGCGAAGAUCUGGUCUAGUAGAUCACUCUUAGUGUUUGGUGGGCUUGUGUUAAUAGCCUCACACAACCUGGCAACCGAGAACUGAUUGUCGCUGUAUUGAGCUGUCCUCGCGUAUAUGUAACUCACAUAGCUUUUGAGUUCGAUAAUGUCGUUCAAAGGACUAAUAAAUCAAUAUAAAAAGAUAAAAAGAAUAUUAAAAUAUGAUAGAUUCUUUUAUACUCUCUAUAAAUUGGGAGAAAUCUUUUUACUUGCACAGCUUGAAAUUUUUGCUGAGGAUUGAGAGACUGUUAGGUUUGGCAGCAAUCCUGUCUAUUUCAUCCCAAGAUUUAUGUAUCUUGUUAUGACAUUCCUUGCUCAUUUCCUUAAGGACAAAAUAUUAGCAAAACAAUAUGAGUAAUGCAUGUUGUUAAUAGUAUAAUUAUGGAACUGUUUUAAGUUACCUUGAAAACUUUGGUUACUAUGUAAAAGUAACCAUGUUUUGGAAGUGUGUCUUCAAAAUAGAGGAGGGGGGCUGAGGAUGCUAAAGCCCCGAGCGCUAUGUAUGGGUAUUUUAGCUUGAACCAAGCUGCCAACACUUUGUGUACCGCACCAUGAAAUUGAAAAUAAAAUAAAAUUAUUUUUGAAGCAUAACAUUUUAUCAUACUAAAUUAAAUAUCCAUAUAGUGAAAGAGGAAUGGAACAUUAGGGAAAGUGAGAAGAGCAAAUUUCGUUCCAACAUUAUUUUAGAUGUAUGUCAAUUAUUUUUAGCAAGACUAGUAAAAGAAUAUAUAAC